AAAUGUUGGGUUAAGUCCCGCAACGAGCGCAACCCUUAUCCUUUGUUGCCAGCGGUUAGGCCGGGAACUCAAAGGAGACUGCCAGUGAUAAACUGGAGGAAGGUGGGGAUGACGUCAAGUCAUCAUGGCCCUUACGAGUAGGGCUACACACGUGCUACGAUGGCGCAAACAAAGAGAAGCGACCUCGCGAGAGCAAGCGGACCUCAUAAAGUGCGUCGUAGUCCGGAUUGGAGUCUGCAACUCGACUCCAUGAAGUCGGAAUCGCUAGUAAUCGUAGAUCAGAAUGCUACGGUGAAUACGUUCCCGGGCCUUGUACACACCGCCCGUCACACCAUGGGAGUGGGUUGCAAAAGAAGUAGGUAGCUUAACCUUCGGGAGGGCGCUUACCACUUUGUGAUUCAUGACUGGGGUGAAGUCGUAACAGGGUAA
rnacentral:rRNA from 1 species